UUGGAGUCUGCAACUCGACUCCAUGAAGUCGGAAUCGCUAGUAAUCGUGGAUCAGAAUGCCACGGUGAAUACGUUCCCGGGCCUUGUACACACCGCCCGUCACACCAUGGGAGUGGGUUGCAAAAGAAGUAGGUAGCUUAACCUUCGGGAGGGCGCUUACCACUUUGUGAUUCAUGACUGGGGUGAAGUCGUAACAAGGUAACCGUAGGGGAACCUGCGGUUGGAUCACCUCCUUACCUUAAAGAA
rnacentral:rRNA from 1 species